GCGCGCAACCCUUACUUCGUACGAUGAGUAGUAAUACUUAAAUGGAUAUUCGUGUAUCGUGUUGUAAAUUCGUUAUAUCGCGUUAUGUUUACUGGAAUUUAGUGUUAUUCGACAGGUUUUAGUCGCUAAAUAUUUAUCGCGUGUGUUAUCUUUGGAAUUCAAUGUUUUGUGUGUUUACUACAGUUUCGCUUGUAUCUGGGAUCGCUUGCAUUUUGUCUUCAGCAGAUCAGGACGGGCGGCUGUUCUACCUGAAUCUACUCCCAUUGCAUUUACGGUGUUCGAUACACUGUAUCCUAGCUGUGUCCUAGUACUCCAAUGAGCACUGCAUUGGUAAGGUUUUAUUAAGUUAUAUUAUUCGGUCAAAUGUUUUAUGACCUGCGUGUUGCAAUAGCUCGCGAUUUAGGGGGGCCUUGUUAAUUAUAAUUGCGGGUAGUAUAGAAAACGAAGAAAACGACAAAGUUUGCUCGUUUUUCGCGUUUUUCAAAACACACGGUGGAAAACAAGCCAUAUCUCGGAAUCACUUCGUAAUAAUUCAGUUUUUUUCUCUAUUUUAUGAUGGUACAAGACUGCACUUUUAAAAUGCACCCCUAAAGUUCUGCGAAAUUCGGUCGUGACUGCCUCAAAAUGGCCGCUAAAUUUAGGUCUUCUAUUGCAAUUUUCAAAACACGCGGUGGAAAACAAGCCAUAUCUCGGGAACCCUUCGUGAUUAAUCAGUUUUUUUUCUUUAUUUUAUGAUGGUACAAAAGUGCAUUUUUAAAAUACACCCCUUAAGCUCUGCGAAAUUUGGUCGUGACUGCCUCAAAAUGGCCGCUAAAUUUCGACCUCUUCUUGCAUUUUUCAAAACACGCGGUGGAUUACAGGCCAUAAAUCGGGAACCCUUUGUCGAAUUUUAGCUUUUUAUUUAUUUUAUGAUAGGGCAAGAGUUCAUUUUUAAAAUGCACCCCCGAAGCUUUGCGAAAUUCAGUCGUAACAUGCUCAAAAUGGCCGCCAAAGUUAUGCCUCUUUUUGCAAUUUUUAAAACACGCGAUGGAAAACAGGCGAUAUCUCGGGAACCCUUUGUCAUAUUUUAGCUUUUUAUUUAUUUUAUGAUACAGCAAGAGUGCAUUUUUAAAAUGUACCCCUGAAACUCGGCGAAAUUCGGUCGUAGCGGCCACAAAAUGGCCACCAAAGUUAGGCCUCUUCGUGCAAUUUUUAAAACACGCGGUGGAAAAUAGGCCAUAUCUCGGGAACCCUUUGUCAUAUUUUAGUUUUUUAUUUAUUUUAUGAUACGGCAAGAAUGCAUUUUUCUACUUAAAUCUUAAUUUUUUUGUGUAUCACCCAGUACAUAUAUAUAUAUUUUCCUUAUCAUUUAAUAGAACAUUUGUCUUAGUGUUUGGGCAUUUUAUUUUUGAGACAUAGGGUUUUCUUUUUGUAACACCCUGUAAAAUAUUUUCCCGUGGUGAAUUUGUCAAAAGGGGUAAGUUGUAUGUUAUCCAAUUUACACUUAGGAUUUUCCUUUGAAAUAUUGUCGUUUUCUUCUUAUAUCUCCCUGUAUAUUAAUUUCCUUCGAUGUUUUACUGUGGUUUUAAAGAUAUAUUUCCCUACUUGAACGUUUCAUUUUCUUUUAAAAUUUUACGAUACAGUUUCUUGGGACACCCUAUAUAAUAGUUUUCAAUGAUUGCCGCGAAAAUUAUGCAAAAUUUGUUAGUAUUAUAUAUAUAUAUAUAUAUUCAAAAUGGCGGGUUAUAUAUUGCUUAAUAUUAUAUAUUCUAGGUUUUCAUUGUAUACAUAUUUCAAUAAAGAAAUGUUAAAAGUGACUGGGCCUCCUAUGAUUUGUUUCCAUCACAUCCCUGAAAAUUAUGCUUUGACUCUUAUUAGAAUUUAACUUCUGGCAUUUCGAAUUUUCUUUUGGUAGCACCCUGUAUUUCGUUUCCCAUACGUCGGGUGAAAAACGAGCGAUAUUUGUAGUGUUUGAAUGUUUUUCUCUUUGCACUUUAAAUUUUCCUUUUGUAAUACCCUGUAUAUUUGUAUAUAUUUUAAUGACGUAGAAAUUGAGCUAUUCACUAAUUUAUU